rnacentral:rRNA from 1 species
GAUGAACGCUGGCGGCGUGCCUAAUACAUGCAAGUCGAGCGAACGGACGAGAAGCUUGCUUCUCUGAUGUUAGCGGCGGACGGGUGAGUAACACGUGGAUAACCUGCCUAUAAGACCGGGAUAACUUCGGGAAACCGUAGCUAAUACCGGAUAAUAUUUUGAACCGCAUGGUUCAAAAGUGAAAGACGGUCUUGCUGUCACUUAUAGAUGGAUCCGCGCUGCAUUAGCUAGUUGGUAAGGUAACGGCUUACCAAGGCAACGAUGCAUAGCCGACCUGAGAGGGUGAUCGGCCACACUGGAACUGAGACACGGUCCAGACCCCUACGGGAGGCAGCAGUAGGGAAUCUUCCGCAAUGGGCGAAAGCCUGACGGAGCAACGCCGCGUGAGUGAUGAAGGUCUUCGGAUCGUANAACUCUGUUAUUAGGGAAGAACAUAUGUGUAAGUAACUGUGCACAUCUUGACGGUACCUAAUCAGAAAGCCACGGCUAACUACGUGCCAGCAGCCGCGGUAAUACGUAGGUGGCAAGCGUUAUCCGGAAUUAUUGGGCGUAAAGCGCGCGUAGGCGGUUUUUUAAGUCUGAUGUGAAAGCCCACGGCUCAACCGUGGAGGGUCAUUGGAAACUGGAAAACUUGAGUGCAGAAGAGGAAAGUGGAACUCCAUGUGUAGCGGUGAAAUGCGCAGAGAUAUGGAGGAACACCAGUGGCGAAGGCGACUUUCUGGUCUGUAACUGACGCUGAUGUGCGAAAGCGUGGGGAUCAAACAGGAUUAGAUACCCUGGUAGUCCACGCCGUAAACGAUGAGUGCUAAGUGUUAGGGGGUUUCCGCCCCUUAGUGCUGCAGCUAACGCAUUAAGCACUCCGCCUGGGGAGUACGACCGCAAGGUUGAAACUCAAAGGAAUUGACGGGGACCCGCACAAGCGGUGGAGCAUGUGGUUUAAUUCGAAGCAACGCGAAGAACCUUACCAAAUCUUGACAUCCUUUGACAACUCUAGAGAUAGAGCCUUCCCCUUCGGGGGACAAAGUGACAGGUGGUGCAUGGUUGUCGUCAGCUCGUGUCGUGAGAUGUUGGGUUAAGUCCCGCAACGAGCGCAACCCUUAAGCUUAGUUGCCAUCAUUAAGUUGGGCACUCUAAGUUGACUGCCGGUGACAAACCGGAGGAAGGUGGGGAUGACGUCAAAUCAUCAUGCCCCUUAUGAUUUGGGCUACACACGUGCUACAAUGGACAAUACAAAGGGCAGCGAAACCGCGAGGUCAAGCAAAUCCCAUAAAGUUGUUCUCAGUUCGGAUUGUAGUCUGCAACUCGACUACAUGAAGCUGGAAUCGCUAGUAAUCGUAGAUCAGCAUGCUACGGUGAAUACGUUCCCGGGUCU